AUUUUGUAGGGAGUGGGUGGGGCAGGCUGGGGUUUUCCCCGAAUUAAACGAAAAUGCCCGAAUCUGGAUAACAAUAUAAGGCUGAUGCUGCUGUUGAGAAAUACCUCAAGAAAGAGAAGAAAAAGAAGAAGAAGGAGAAGAAACGUCAAGCGGAGGAGAGCAUGAACUCGACACAGGAGAUGGACACGACUCAGGAACUGGAGACGACUCAAGAAGGAGACGACUUGGAGCCGAAGAAGAAAAAGAAGAAGAAAGAGAAACGGGUCUCCGAGGAGAUGAACAUCACCAUGGAUACCACGGCCGACAUGGAAGAUGAAGAGCCGCCCACAAAGAAAAAGAAGAAGAAAAAAAAAAAAAAGCUGAUGUGUAAUAGAAUUAUUUUCGUUAAAAAGUGCGGGUUUUCAGUAACGAGCACAUUCGUUGAAUAAUUCAAAGCUUUUAACUGACAUACAAAAGAGAAGGCUAACUACAGCAGAUACUGUAUAGCAGAUCGUGUAUGGACCUAUUCAAGGAUUUAUCCUUUUUAGUUUCAAGAGCAUACAGACUAUCCACGGAGGACGUGGAUAAUGUACAUUUAGAAAAGUAGUAAUAAAGAAGAAAUUUUGAUGCA